CCUACGGGCGGCUGCAGUUUCGAAUCAUUCACAAUGGGCGAAAGCCUGAUGGUGCGACGCCGCGUGAGGGAUGAAGGUCUUCGGAUUGUAAACCUCUGUCACUGGGGAGAAAACGCUUUGAGUUAAUAGUUCAAAGCCUGAUUUAAACCGGAGAGGAAGCAGUGGCUAACUCUGUGCCAGCAGCCGCGGUAAUACAGAGACUGCACUGGGCGUUCGGGGUGCGCAGGCGGUUAGGUGUGUCAGGUGUGAAAUCCCGAGGCUUAACCUCGGAACUGCGUCUGAAACUACUCGACUAGAGUACUGGAGAGGGAAACGGAAUUCACGGUGUAGCAGUGAAAUGCGUAGAUAUCGUGAGGAACACCAGAGGCGAAGGCGGUUUCCUGGACAGUUACUGACGCUCAGGCACGAAAGCAUGGGGAGCAAAAGGGAUUAGAUACCCUUGUAGUC
rnacentral:rRNA from 1 species